UACAGAGGUCUCAAGCGUUGUUCGGAUUCAUUGGGCGUAAAGGGUGUGUAGGUGGCGCGCUAAGUCGGGUGUGAAAUUUCGGAGCUUAACUCCGAAACUGCAUUCGAUACUGGCGUGCUUGAGGACUGGAGAGGAGACUGGAAUUCAUGGUGUAGCAGUGAAAUGCGUAGAGAUCAUGAGGAAGACAAGGGGCGAAGGCGGGUCUCUGGACAGUUCCUGACACUGAGACACGAAGGCCAGGGGAGCAAACGGG
rnacentral:rRNA from 1 species